rnacentral:rRNA from 1 species
GACGAACGCUUGCGGCGUGCUUAACACAUGCAAGUCGAACGAGAAAGGGACUUCGGUCCUGAGUAAAGUGGCGCACGGGUGAGUAACGCGUAGGUAAUCUACCCUCGUGUUCGGGACAACAUCGGGAAGCUGGUGCUAAUACCGGAUACGUUCCACAGAUAGCGAUAUAAGUGAAGGAAAGAUGGCGAUCUCUUCGGAGAGCUAUUGCACGGGGAUGAGCCUGCGUACCAUUAGCUAGGUGGCAGGGUAAGGGCCUACCAAGGCGACGAUGGUUAGCGGGUCUGAGAGGAUGAUCCGCCACACUGGCACUGGAACACGGGCCAGACUCCUACGGGAGGCAGCAGUGAGGAAUUUUGCACAAUGGGGGAAACCCUGAUGCAGCGACGCCGCGUGAGUGACGAAGGUCCUCGGAUCGUAAAGCUCUGUCAGCAGGGAAGAAAUGUGUCAUGGCUAAUAUCCACGAUACUUGACGGUACCUGCAAAGGAAGCACCGGCUAACUCCGUGCCAGCCGCCGCGGUAAAAC